rnacentral:rRNA from 1 species
UACACUCCUGCGGGAGGCAGCAGUGGGGAAUAUUGGACAAUGGGCGCAAGCCUGAUCCAGCCAUGCCGCGUGAGUGAUGAAGGCCCUAGGGUUGUAAAGCUCUUUUGUGCGGGAAGAUAAUGACGGUACCGCAAGAAUAAGCCCCGGCUAACUUCGUGCCAGCAGCCGCGGUAAUACGAAGGGGGCUAGCGUUGCUCGGAAUCACUGGGCGUAAAGGGUGCGUAGGCGGGUCUUUAAGUCAGGGGUGAAAUCCUGGAGCUCAACUCCAGAACUGCCUUUGAUACUGAAGAUCUUGAGUUCGGGAGAGGUGAGUGGAACUGCGAGUGUAGAGGUGAAAUUCGUAGAUAUUCGCAAGAACACCAGUGGCGAAGGCGGCUCACUGGCCCGAUACUGACGCUGAGGCACGAAAGCGUGGGGAGCAAACAGGAUUAGAAACCCCAGUAGUCCCAUGAU